CCCGAGAUUGCGGCGCCAAAUUCAGCAGAAAAACGGAGCUCGAAUGUAGCACAGACAAGGAAAGGAAACCUGCCUAGAAGAAAAACUUCAAAAGAGCCGCGAUUUUCUGUCUCUAUCAGGAUGGGAUGCAUUGCUGGGAAGCCUCAAGGCUCCUCUCCCACGAAGUCUUUUUAAGAUAGCUUGGACACACACUACAGCUUACAGCUCUUACAGUGAGGAUUCUGAAAGAUAAGACAUGGAAACUACAUCUCUUAAGGCCUUGGCCCAGAAAUUGGUACGCUUCUG